UACGAAGGGGGCUCGCGUUGCUCGGAAUCACUGGGCGUAAAGGGUGCGUAGGCGGGUCUUUAAGUCAGGGGUGAAAUCCUGGAGCUCAACUCCAGAACUGCCUUUGAUACUGAAGAUCUUGAGUGCGGGAGAGGUGAGUGGAACUGCGAGUGUAGAGGUGAAAUUCGUAGAUAUUCGCAAGAACACCAGUGGCGAAGGCGGCUCACUGGCCCGAUACUGACGCUGAGGCACGAAAGCGUGGGGAGCAAACAGG
rnacentral:rRNA from 1 species